rnacentral:rRNA from 1 species
CGACCGGCGCACGGGUGAGUAACGCGUAUCCAACCUUCCGUUUACUCAGGGAUAGCCUUUCGAAAGAAAGAUUAAUACCUGAUGGUAUCUUAAUGACACAUGUAAUUAAGAUUAAAGAUUUAUCGGUAAACGAUGGGGAUGCGUUCCAUUAGGCAGUUGGCGGGUAACGGCCCACCAAACCGACGAUGGAUAGGGGUUCUGAGAGGAAGGUCCCCCACAUUGGUACUGAGACACGGACCGAACUCCUACGGGAGGCAGCAGUGAGGAAUAUUGGUCAAUGGGCGUAAGCCUGAACCAGCCAAGUCGCGUGAGGGAUGAAGGUUCUAUGGAUCGUAAACCUCUUUUAUAAGGGAAUAAAGUGUAGGACGUGUCCUAUUUUGUAUGUACCUUAUGAAUAAGGAUCGGCUAACUCCGUG